rnacentral:lncRNA from 1 species
AGUUUUGUGAUUAAAACCAGUUACAUUUUUGUUGUCAUAGAGUAUAAAAUGGGUAAAAAUUUGUAGACAUCAAAUGAGGAUAUUGUGGUUGAACUUAAAGUAAAUUUAAGAUGCUGCAAUGUUUAGGAUGCAAGGCUUUCUGAUGCACUAAUUUGAAAUUAAUUACUAGUGCACCCAACCUUUCAGUGAUGUUUUGGGUUUUUGUUUUCUUA